rnacentral:misc_RNA from 1 species
GUUCUGCCUGUUACUAUCACUGGAGAUGUUACUAGUGCUGCUGCAUUUUGUGACUCAAUGGGCUUUUUGGAAAGCAAGUUGAGUCUUUCCUACUCAGCGUCUGUGUGUGGUAUUGGGUUUUAUGUAAUAGGGCUUGAUGUUCUGUGGGCUUAAUUGUAUUUUUAUAGAUCUGAAUUAUGUAGCUAUUAGCUCUUUUUUGAGCUUUAAUGCAAGAUUAUUGCAGUUCAAAA